rnacentral:rRNA from 1 species
UACGGAGGGUGCAAGCGUUAUCCGGAAUCACUGGGUUUAAAGGGUGCGUAGGCGGUUUUAUAAGUCAGGGGUGAAAGCAUGCAGCUUAACUGUAUAAUUGCCUUUGAUACUGUAAGACUUGAAUAAGGUUGAGGUUGGCGGAAUGUGACAUGUAGCGGUGAAAUGCUUAGAUAUGUCAUAGAACACCGAUUGCGAAGGCAGCUGACUGGGCCUUUAUUGACGCUGAGGCACGAAAGCGUGGGGAGCGAACAGG